CCACAAACCUGCAUACUUCGUCCCGGAUUCAAUGUCAGUUUGGAAUCUUCUCGGAGAGUUCUGCAUUAGGAAGGUUAACAUGGUUGUUGUUCUAAAUGAGUAUGGUGGAACUGUGGGGAUAGUGACCCUGGAAGAUGUGAUUGAGGAAAUUGUUGGUGAAAUCUUUGACGAAAUGAUUCAAAAGAGGAGAUCCAGAAGAAAACUGGCUACAUUGUGAUGCAAGCAGAGGGAAUAUAUGAUGUGGAUGCUAAUACAUGUAUUGAUCAGCUCUCUGAAGACUUAAAUAUCAAAAUGCCAGAGGGUCAUCAGUAUGAGAUGGUAUCAGGUUUUAUAUGUGAGGCCUUUGGAUACAUCCCAAGGACCGGUGAGAGUACGAAAGUGAUACUUUACAAGGAAAACCAGGAAGAAAGCGAAGAACAUGAUGAUCUGGAUCUGACCACCAGGGAUUGAGGGAAAAGUAUCUAAUUUACAAACUCGAGACUUUUAAGGAUUUGAUUCCAUGGUAUUGAAGAGUUUGGGAAAGAGCGUGCAGUAGAAAUCAAUCUGUAGAAUCUUUUGAAUAAGUUGGGAUAUUCAACAUCUUGGAGUCUUUACAUGGUCUUAUCAUAGGAUUUCUGAAUAUUAUUGGAGUUAGAAUUACGAGCUAUAAUGUAGGCUUUAAUAUGCUAUUUUGUUGAAUUUCAGUUUAACAAAUGUUGUGAUAUUUAUUCAGAAUAGUAGUUUAUAGGGCCUCUGGCUCUUCAGCCCUGCCCUGUUUCUUCAGUG